UGGGGAAUAUUGCACCAUGGGCGCAAGCCUGAUGCAGCCAUGCCGCGUGUAUGAAGAAGGCCUUCGGGUUGUAAAGUACUUUCAGCGGGGAGGAAGGCGAUAAGGUUAAUAACCUUGUCGAUUGACGUUACCCGCAGAAGAAGCACCGGCUAACUCCGUGCCAGCAGCCGCGGUAAUACGGAGGGUGCAAGCGUUAAUCGGAAUUACUGGGCGUAAAGCGCACGCAGGCGGGCUGUCAAGUCGGAUGUGAAAUCCCCGGGCUCAACCUGGGAACUGCAUUCGAAACUGGCAGGCUAGAGUCUUGUAGAGGGGGGGAGAAUUCCAGGUGUAGCGGUGAAAUGCGUAGAGAUCUGGAGGAAUACCGGUGGCGAAGGCGGCCCCCUGGACAAAGACUGACGCUCAGGUGCGAAAGCGUGGGGAGCAAACA
rnacentral:rRNA from 1 species